GACGAACGCUGGCGGCGUGCUUAACACAUGCAAGUCGAACGGAAAGGCCCUGCUUUUGUGGGGUGCUCGAGUGGCGAACGGGUGAGUAACACGUGAGUAACCUGCCCUUGACUUUGGGAUAACUUCAGGAAACUGGGGCUAAUACCGGAUAGGAGCUCCUGCUGCAUGGUGGGGGUUGGAAAGUUUCGGCGGUUGGGGAUGGACUCGCGGCUUAUCAGCUUGUUGGUGGGGUAGUGGCUUACCAAGGCUUUGACGGGUAGCCGGCCUGAGAGGGUGACCGGCCACAUGGGGACUGAGAUACGGCCCAGACUCCUACGGGAGGCAGAAGUGGGGAAUAUUGCACAAUGGGAGGAAGCCUGAUGCAGCAACGCCGCGUGCGGGAUGACGGCCUUUGGGUUGUAAACCGCUUUCGCCUGUGACGAAGCGUGAGUGACGGUAAUGGGUAAAGAAGCACCGGCUAACUACGUG
rnacentral:rRNA from 1 species